rnacentral:rRNA from 1 species
CCUACGGGUCGCAGCAGUAGGGAAUCUUCCGCAAUGGACGAAAGUCUGACGGAGCAACGCCGCGUGGGUAAUGAAGGCUUUCGGGUCGUAAAACUCUGUCGUUAGGGAAGAACAAGUGCUAGUUGAAUAAGCUGGCACCUUGACGGUACCUAACCAGAAAGCCACGGCUAACUACGUGCCAGCAGCCGCGGUAAUACGUAGGUGGCAAGCGUUAUCCGGAAUUAUUGGGCGUAAAGCGCGCGCAGGUGGUUUCUUAAGUCUGAUGUGAAAGCCCACGGCUCAACCGUGGAGGGUCAUUGGAAACUGGGAGACUUGAGUGCAGAAGAGGAAAGUGGAAUUCCAUGUGUAGCGGUGAAAUGCGUAGAGAUAUGGAGGAACACCAGUGGCGAAGGCGACUUUCUGGUCUGUAACUGACACUGAGGCGCGAAAGCGUGGGGAGCAAACAGGAUUAGAUACCCCCGUAGUC